rnacentral:sRNA from 1 species
GCCGGGUACAGUGGUGCAUGCCUGUAAUCCCAGCAGCUCUGGAGGCUGAGACAGGAGGAUCAUGAGUUCAAAGCCAGCUUCAGCAAAAAUGAGGUGCCAAGCAACUCAGUGAGACCCUGUCUCGA